GACAGAGGGUGCAAACGUUGUUCGGAAUUACUGGGCGUAAAGCGCUCGCAGGCGGUUUCUUAAGUCUGAUGUGAAAGCCCACGGCUCAACCGUGGAGGGUCAUUGGAAACUGGGAGACUUGAGUGCAGAAGAGGAGAGUGGAAUUCCACGUGUAGCGGUGAAAUGCGUAGAGAUGUGGAGGAACACCAGUGGCGAAGGCGACUCUCUGGUCUGUAACUGACGCUGAGGAGCGAAAGCGUGGGGAGCGAACAGG
rnacentral:rRNA from 1 species